rnacentral:rRNA from 1 species
UGAUCCUGCCAGUAGUGAUAUGCUUGUCUCAAAGAUUAAGCCAUGCAUGUGCCAGAUAAGCUAUCAUAGCAAAUCUGCAGAUGGCUCCUUACACCAGUUGCAAGAACUUGAUGAGUUUCACUUCUACAUGGAUAUCUAUGGUAACUCUAUAGCUAAUACAUGUAAGAUAACCUGACUUGGCAGAAGGGUUAUGCUUGUCAGCACCAGAGUUGGUCCUGGCCCUGCCGGGUGGAAAUUGUGAAUAAUGAUAAGUCAAACUGAACACGUUAUUAUCAGUGUCACAUCUGUUUUGCUUCUGACCUAUCAGCUUCAGAUGGUAAGGUGUUGGCUUACCAUGGCAAUGACAGGUGACGGAGAAUUAGGGUUUGAUUCCGGAGAGGGCGCCUGAGUAAUGGCUACCACAUCCAAGGAAGGCAGCAGGCGCGCAAAUUACCAAAACCUGGCACAGGGAGGUUGUGACAAUAAAUAACAAUGCAGGGCAUUAUGUCUUGCAUUUGGAAUGGGUAAACUGUAAAUCUGUGUCUGAGUAUCAAUUGGAGGGCAAGUC